rnacentral:rRNA from 1 species
UGGCGGACGGGUGAGUAACGCGUGGAAAACCUGCCGUAUACUGGGGGAUAACACUUAGAAAUAGGUGCUAAUACCGCAUAAGCGCACAGCUUCGCAUGAAGCGGUGUGAAAAACUCUGGUGGUAUACGAUGGUUCCGCGUCUGAUUAGCUAAGUUGGUGGGGUAAUGGGCCUACCAAGGCAACGAUCAGUAGCCGGCCUGAGAGGGUGAACCGGCCACAUUGGGACUGAGACACGGCCCAAACUCCUACGGAAGGCAGCAG